UCUCCGUUGGUGAACCAGCGGAGGGAUCAUUGCUGGAACUGUGUCCGCAAGGACACAACCCCAGAUACCCUUUGUGAACUUAUUCUUAUAUCGUUGCCUCGGCGCUGAGCUGGGGGCUUCUUUCCAAGGAGCUCUCCCAUGGUCUCUCGGGACGAUGGAGCAAGCCCGCCGGCGGCCCUUCUAAACUCUUGUUUUUAUUACGUAUCUCUUCUGAGUUAUUCAAAACAAAAUGAAUCAAAACUUUCAACAACGGAUCUCUUGGUUCUG
rnacentral:misc_RNA from 1 species